rnacentral:rRNA from 1 species
UAGAGUUUGAUCCUGGCUCACAUUGAACGCUGGCGGCAGGCCUAACACAUGCAAGUCGAGCGGCAGCGGGAAAGUAGCUUGCUACUUUUGCCGGCGAGCGGCGGACGGGUGAGUAAUGCCUAGGGAUCUGCCCAGUCGAGGGGGAUAACAGUUGGAAACGACUGCUAAUACCGCAUACGCCCUACGGGGGAAAGGAGGGGACCUUCGGGCCUUCCGCGAUUGGAUGAACCUAGGUGGGAUUAGCUAGUUGGUGAGGUAAUGGCUCACCAAGGCGACGAUCCCUAGCUGUUCUGAGAGGAUGAUCAGCCACACUGGGACUGAGACACGGCCCAGACUCCUACGGGAGGCAGCAGUGGGGAAUAUUGCACAAUGGGGGAAACCCUGAUGCAGCCAUGCCGCGUGUGUGAAGAAGGCCUUCGGGUUGUAAAGCACUUUCAGUAGGGAGGAAAGGGUGAGUCUUAAUACGGCUUAUCUGUGACGUUACCUACAGAAGAAGGACCGGCUAACUCCGUGCCAGCAGCCGCGGUAAUACGGAGGGUCUGAGCGUUAAUCGGAAUUACUGGGCGUAAAGCGUGCGCAGGCGGUUUGUUAAGCGAGAUGUGAAAGCCCUGGGCUCAACCUAGGAAUAGCAUUUCGAACUGACAAACUAGAGUCUUGUAGAGGGGGGUAGAAUUCCAGGUGUAGCGGUGAAAUGCGUAGAGAUCUGGAGGAAUACCGGUGGCGAAGGCGGCCCCCUGGACAAAGACUGACGCUCAUGCACGAAAGCGUGGGGAGCAAACAGGAUAAGAUACCCUGGUAGUCCACGCCGUAAACGAUG